rnacentral:rRNA from 1 species
GACGAACGCUGGCGGCGUGCUUAACACAUGCAAGUCGAACGGAAAGGCCCUGCUUUUGUUGGGUGCUCGAGUGGCGAACGGGUGAGUAACACGUGAGUAACCUGCCCUUGACUUUGGGAUAACUUCAGGAAACUGGGGCUAAUACCGGAUAGGAGCUCCUGCUGCAUGGUGGGGGUUGGAAAGUUUCGGCGGUUGGGGAUGGACUCGCGGCUUAUCAGCUUGUUGGUGGGGUAGUGGCUUACCAAGGCUUUGAGGGGUAGCCGGCCUGAGAGGGUGGCCGGCCACAUUGGGACUGAGAUACGGCCCAGACUCCUACGGGAGGCAGCGGUGGAGAAUAUUACACAGUGGGCGGGAGCCUGAUGCAGCAACGCCGCGUGCGGGAUGACGGCCUUCGGGUUGUAAACCGCUUUCGCCUGUGACGAAGCGUGAGUGACGGUAAUGGGUAAAGAAGCACCGGCUAACUACGUG